rnacentral:rRNA from 1 species
UCGCGUCAGGAUAUGCCUAGGUGGGAUUAGCUAGUUGGUGAGGUAAGGGCUCACCAAGGCGACGAUCCCUAGCUGGUCUGAGAGGAUGAUCAGCCACACUGGAACUGAGACACGGUCCAGACUNCUACGGGAGGCAGCAGUGGGGAAUAUUGCACAAUGGGCGCAAGCCUGAUGCAGCCAUGCCGCGUGUGUGAAGAAGGCCUUUCGGGUUGUAAAGCACUUUCAGUCGUGAGGAAGGUAGUGUAGUUAAUAGCUGCAUUAUUUGACGUUAGCGACAGAAGAAGCACCGGCUAACUCCGUGCCAGCAGCCGCGGUAAUACGGAGGGUGCGAGCGUUAAUCGGAAUUACUGGGCGUAAAGCGCAUGCAGGUGGUUUGUUAAGUCAGAUGUGAAAGCCCGGGGCUCAACCUCGGAAUUGCAUUUGAAACUGGCAGACUAGAGUACUGUAGAGGGGGGUAGAAUUUCAGGUGUAGCGGUGAAAUGCGUAGAGAUCUGAAGGAAUACCGGUGGCGAAGGCGGCCCCCUGGACAGAUACUGACACUCAGAUGCGAAAGCGUGGGGAGCAAACAGGAUUAGAUACCCUGGUAGUCCACGCCGUAAACGAUGUCUACUUGGAGGUUGUGGCCUUGAGCCGUGGCUUUCGGAGCUAACGCGUUAAGUAGACCGCCUGGGGAGUACGGUCGCAAGAUUAAAACUCAAAUGAAUUGACGGGGGCCCGCACAAGCGGUGGAGCAUGUGGUUUAAUUCGAUGCAACGCGAAGAACCUUACCUACUCUUGACAUCCAGAGAACUUUCCAGAGAUGGAUUGGUGCCUUCGGGAACUCUGAGACAGGUGCUGCAUGGCUGUCGUCAGCU